ensembl:snRNA U6 U6 spliceosomal RNA
UUGCUUGCUUCAGCAGCACAUAGACUAAAAUUGGAAUGAUACAGAGAAGAUUAUUAUGGCCCUUGAGUAAGGACGACAGGCAAAUUUGUGAAGCAUUCCAUAUUUUU